GGCGUUUGGAAGACAUGGGAAAGCAUGGAAAUAGACUGUCAACGGACUUCUAAUCCGUAGGUCGUAGGUUCGAAUCCUACCGGGGUCGCCA
rnacentral:tRNA from 1 species